rnacentral:rRNA from 1 species
GACGAACGCUGGCGGCGUGCCUAAUACAUGCAAGUAGAACGCUGAAGGAGGAGCUUGCUUCUCUGGAUGAGUUGCGAACGGGUGAGUAACGCGUAGGUAACCUGCCUGGUAGCGGGGGAUAACUAUUGGAAACGAUAGCUAAUACCGCAUAACAGUAGAUAUCGCAUGAUAUCUACUUGAAAGGUGCAAUUGCAUCACUACCAGAUGGACCUGCGUUGUAUUAGCUAGUUGGUGAGGUAACGGCUCACCAAGGCGACGAUACAUAGCCGACCUGAGAGGGUGAUCGGCCACACUGGGACUGAGACACGGCCCAGACUCCUACGGGAGGCAGCAGUAUGGAAUCUUCGGCAAUGGACGGAAGUCUGACCGAGCAACGCCGCGUGAGUGAAGAAGGUUUUCGGAUCGUAAAGCUCUGUUGUAAGAGAAGAACGAGUGUGAGAGUGGAAAGUUCACACUGUGACGGUAUCUUACCAGAAAGGGACGGCUAACUACGUG